UACAGAGGGGGCAAGCGUUGUUCGGAAUUACUGGGCGUAAAGGGCGCGUAGGCGGCCCGCUAAGUCGGACGUGAAAUCCCUCGGCUUAACCGGGGAACUGCGUCCGAUACUGGUUGGCUUGAGUUUGGGAGAGGGAUGCGGAAUUCCAGGUGUAGCGGUGAAAUGCGCAGAUAUCAGGAGGAACACCGAUGGCGAAGGCAGGUCUCUGGGCAUUAACUGACGCUGAGGAGCGAAAGCAUGGGGAGCGAACAGG
rnacentral:rRNA from 1 species